GACAACUGUCCACCUGAGUGGAUGGUCUAAGGAGUACCCUGCCUAGGAAAAACAGAACUGUCUGACCUUCCCUGGAAAGAAGUUGCUUAAGAAUAGUGGCAUCAUUGUACGCCUUUGGUGUAUCUUACAUCUUGAAAGAGGCAGAAUCAAUUCCCAGAAUGCUGCUGACUUCCACGUAAGGAUACUGUUUCUCAAGAACACUAACCACAUGCUCCACUUUCAGCUGAUCUCCUGUUUUCACUUUGUUAUAUAUCUGAAAGCAGGAUACAAAUACAAGUUUACAGCUGCAACUGUAAAGCUUCUGUCCUUACCAAAGUAGUUUCAGAGCUGAUUGUGAGAUAAGAACAAAAGUUCCCCUGACAACUUAAGAAUGCACUGCCCAGUGGCAAAUAAGAACCACACCGGACGACAGUGUCAAACCGCAUCCCUUCUUUUCUGAUUUUAUCGCUAUUGAACAACAAGGGAUUUCUCUUUCAGAACAGGAAUCUCAGGGGACUUAAUACCAAAGAGCAAGGGAUAAGAAAACAAUCAUUCCAAUCUGGAUUAAUAAGAGACUGCCACUUCUGUGCAAGCAAUGGACAGUGCAUAAAUCAACACUGAAGAAUGUAGAAACUACUGGUUUGUGACAAUCUCUUUACAGCAGUAAGUCUAACUAGCUUAAGUUUUAAGAGCUAA